rnacentral:tRNA from 9 species
GCGGGUGUAGUUCAAUGGUAGAACGGGAGCUUCCCAAGCUCUUAAUGUGGGUUCGAUUCCCAUCACCCGCUCCA